rnacentral:rRNA from 1 species
GAUGAACGCUGGCGGCGUGCCUAAUACAUGCAAGUCGAGCGAACGGACGAGAAGCUUGCUUCUCUGAUGUUAGCGGCGGACGGGUGAGUAACACGUGGAUAACCUACCUAUAAGACUGGGAUAACUUCGGGAAACCGUAGCUAAUACCGGAUAAUAUUUUGAACCGCAUGGUUCAAAAGUGAAAGACGGUCUUGCUGUCACUUAUAGAUGGAUCCGCGCUGCAUUAGCUAGUUGGUAAGGUAACGGCUUACCAAGGCAACGAUGCAUAGCCGACCUGAGAGGGUGAUCGGCCGCACUGGAACUGAGACACGGUCCAGACGCCUACGGGAGGCAGCAGUAGGGAAUCUUCCGCAAUGGGCGGAAGCCUGACGGAGCAACGCCGCGUGAGUGAUGAAGGUCUUCGGAUCGUAAAACUCUGUUAUUAGGGAAGAACAUAUGUGUAAGUAACUGUGCACAUCUUGACGGUACCUAAUCAGAAAGCCACGGCUAACUACGUG